rnacentral:lncRNA from 1 species
AUGCCCUCCCGACCUGAGGAAAUCUUAUGGAGGGGGUGGCCCUGUGGCUCUCAGCACCUGAUCAAUGAUCCCUUCACUCUUAACAUCACAAAACAGAGAAAUGCAAUCGUCCUGACAUGGCUCUUCCUGACAACCUGGGUACCCCACUGCCUCUAGCCACACCUUGCUUCUGAGACAAAUAAGGAACUUUAAUUUGGGCUCCCGAGUGGAAAUAACAGUCAUCAAGAACAGAAGGCUCAGGCUGGGUGUGGUGGCUCAUGCCUGUAAUCCCAGCACUUUGGGAGGCCACGGUGGGUGGAUCACCUGAGAUCAGGAGUUGGAGACAAGCCUGACUAACAUGGUGAAACCCCAUUUCUGCUAAAAAUACAAAAUUAGCCGGGCAUGGUGGCGCAUGCCUGUAAUCUCAGUUACUUGAGAGGCUGAGGC